rnacentral:rRNA from 1 species
AUUGAACGCUGGCGGCAGGCUUAACACAUGCAAGUCGAGCGGAGAUGAGGUGCUUGCACCUUAUCUCAGCGGCGGACGGGUGAGUAAUGCUUAGGAAUCUGCCUAUUAGUGGGGGACAACAUUCCGAAAGGAAUGCUAAUACCGCAUACGUCCUACGGGAGAAAGCAGGGGAUCUUCGGACCUUGCGCUAAUAGAUGAGCCUAAGUCGGAUUAGGUAGUUGGUGGGGUAAGGCCUACCAAGACGACGAUCUGUAGCGGGUAUGAGCGGAUGAUCCGCAAAACUGGGACCACAACACGGCCCGGACAACUACGAGAGGCAGAAGUGGGGAAAAUUGGACAAGGGGAGGAACCCUAGUCCAGCCAUGCAGGGUGUGGGGAGAGGGCAUUAUGGUUAUAAAGCACUGUAGGCGAGGAGGAGGCUACUGAGACUAAUACUCUUGGAUAGUGGACGUUACUCGCAGAAUAAGCACCGGCUAACUCUGUGCCAGCCGCCGCCGUAA